rnacentral:rRNA from 1 species
UACAGAGGUCCCGAGCGUUGUUCGGAAUCACUGGGCGUAAAGGGCGUGUAGGCGGUCAAGUAAGUGGGAUGUGAAAUCCCUCGGCUCACCCGAGGACCGGCAUCUCAUACUGCUUGGCUUGAGUACGGGAGAGGAUGUGGGAAUUCCUGGUGUAGCGGUGAAAUGCGUAGAUAUCAGGAGGAACACCGGUGGCGAAGGC